rnacentral:rRNA from 1 species
AGAUGAGCUUGCGUACCAUUAGCUAGUUGGUAGGGUAAUGGCCUACCAAGGCGACGAUGGUUAGCGGGUCUGAGAGGAUGAUCCGCCACACUGGAACUGGAACACGGACCAGACUCCUACGGGAGGCAGCAGUGAGGAAUAUUGCGCAAUGGGGGAAACCCUGACGCAGCGACGCCGCGUGGAUGAUGAAGGCCUUCGGGUCGUAAAAUCCUGUCAGGUGGAAAGAAAUGCAUGGUGGUUAAUACCCAUCAUGUUUGACGGUACCACCGAAGGAAGCACCGGCUAACUCCGUGCCAGCAGCCGCGGUAAUACGGAGGGUGCAAGCGUUGUUCGGAAUUACUGGGCGUAAAGCGCGCGCAGGCGGUCUGUUAAGUCAGAUGUGAAAGCCCAUGGCUCAACCAUGGACGUGCAUUUGAAACUGGCAGGCUUGAGUAGUGGAGGGGGUGGUGGAAUUCCCGGUGUAGAGGUGAAAUUCGUAGAUAUCGGGAGGAAUACCGGUGGCGAAGGCGACCACCUGGCCACAUACUGACGCUGAGGCGCGAAAGCGUGGGGAGCAAACAGGAUUAGAUACCCUGGUAGUCCACGCCGUAAACAAUGUCAACUAGGUGUUGGGACGGUUAAUCGUCUCAUUGCCGCAGCUAACGCAUUAA